ensembl:piRNA 21ur-11800 ncRNA
CGAUUCUCAAGCUCUUGUUCU